rnacentral:rRNA from 1 species
UACGUAGGGGGCAAGCGUUGUCCGGAAUCAUUGGGCGUAAAGCGCGCGUAGGCGGCCCGGUAAGUCCGCUGUGAAAGUCCAGGGCUCAACCCUGGAAAGCCGGUGGAUACUGCCGGGCUAGAGUCCGGAAGAGGCGAGUGGAAUUCCUGGUGUAGCGGUGAAUGCGCAGAUAUCAGGAGGAACACCAAUAGCGAAGGCAGCUCGCUGGGACGGUACUGACGCUGAGGUGCGAAAGCGUGGGGAGCAAACAGG